rnacentral:rRNA from 1 species
GAUGAACGCUGGCGGCGUGCCUAAUACAUGCAAGUCGAGCGAACAGACGAGGAGCUUGCUCCUCUGACGUUAGCGGCGGACGGGUGAGUAACACGUGGAUAACCUACCUAUAAGACUGGGAUAACUUCGGGAAACCGGAGCUAAUACCGGAUAAUAUAUUGAACCGUAUGGUUCAAUAGUAAAAGACGGUUUUGCUGUCUCUUAUAGAUGGAUCCGGGCCGCGUUGGCUGGUUGGUAAGGUAAAGGCUUACCAAGGGAACGAUGCGUAGCCGACCUGUGAGGGUGAUCGGCCACACUGGAAGUGGGACACGGUCCAUGCUCCUGAGGGAGGCAGCAGUAGGGAAUCUUACGCAAUGGGCGAAAACUUGACGCAGUAGGCGCGCGUGAGUGGUGAAGGCGUUGCGAUCGUAAAACUCUGUUACGAGGGAAGAACAGAUGUGUAAGUAACUAUGCAGGUCGUGACGGUACCGGAUCAGAAAGCCACGGCUAACUACGUG